GAUCAAGUCGUUAAGGGCACACGGGGGAUGUCUUGGCGUCAGAAGGCGAUGAAGGACGCGGGAACCUGCGAAAAAUCCAAGGGAGCCGGUAACCAGGCACUGAUCUUGGAGUAUCCGAAUGGGGAAACCCGGCCAGCAAUGGUCAUCACAUACUGAAUGCAUAGGUGUGUGAAGCGAACCCGGAGAACUGAAACAUCUAAGUAUCCGGAGGAAAGGAAAUCAACAGAGACUCCGUAAGUAGCGGCGAGCGAAAGCGGAUAGUCGUGAACCUAUUGAGCGUGCUGGAAAGCGCGACCAAAGAGGGUGAUAGUCCCGUAAAUAGGUGUAGCGGCAAAGCCCUAGAGUAGCGUCGGGCUCGUGAAACCCGGCGUGAACAUGGGGGGUCCACCCUCCAAGGCUAAGUACUAUCUGACGACCGAUAGUGAAUCAGUAAGGCGACUGAAUGAUGAAAAGAACCCCUGUUAGGGGUGUGAAAGAGUACCUGAAACCGUGUGCUUACACAGCGGUCGGAGCCCUUCGGGGUGACGGCGUGCCUUUUGCAUAAUGACCCGGCGAGUUACUCUGUACGGCGAGGCUAAGGUCCAACGGACCGGAGCCGGAGCGAAAGCGAGUCCGAAAUGGGCGUUGAGUCGUACGGAGUAAACGCGAAACCUAAGUGAUCUACCCAUGGGCAGGGUGAAGGGUGGGUAACACCACCUGGAAGCCCGAACUCAUUAUCGUUGAAAAGAUAUGGGAUGACCUGUGGGGAGGACUAAAAGUGUAAUCAAACUGGGAGAUAGCUCGUUCUCUCCGAAAUAUUUUUAGGAAUAGCCUCUUGCGGCAAGUGAUGGGGGUAGAGCGACUGGAUGUGGCUGGGGCCCUACCCGGGUACCCACUGCAACCAAACUCCGAAUACCAUCACCCAAGGCAAGGGAGUCAGACUGCGAGUUACAAUAUCCGUAGUCGAGAGGAGAAUAGUCCAGACCGCCGGCUAAGGUCCCUGAACAAUACUAAGUUUGUAAAGGAAGUCGGAUUCCAGAGACAGCCAGGAUGUUGGCUUAGAAGCAGCCACCAUUUAAAGAGUGCGUAAUAGCUCACUGGUCGAGGAGUUCGGCGCCGAUAAUGAUCGGGAAUAAGUGUUGUACCGAAGCCGCGGGCUCGAAAGAGCAGUAGGAGAGCGUUCCUGUCAGCGAAGAAGGCGGAGCGGAAGCACCGCUGGAGCGUCAGGAAGUGAGUAUGCCGGGUUGAGUAACGAUCAAGCAGGUGAAAAUCCUGCUCGCCGAAUACCCAAGGUUUCCUGGGGAAGGUAAAUCCGCCCAGGGUUAGCCGGAUCCUAAGGCGAGGCCGACAGGCGUAGUCGAUGGACAGCAGGUUAAUAUUCCUGCGCCCUUGCAGCGAUCAAAUCAUGAUGCGGAUCAUGAAGCUUUACGGAAGCACCGGCGUGCUGAGGCCCUUGAGGCCGUUGUAAGGUGGAUUGAUUCCAAGAAAAGUCAUGAGGGCAAAGCAAGGUCCGUACCAAAACUGACACAGGUGGGUGUGGUGAAUAACCUCAGGCGCUCGAGAUAACCGUCGUGAAGGAACUAGGCAAAUUAACCCCGUACCUUCGGAAUAAGGGGGCCCUCACUCGAAAGAGAAGGGCGCAGAGAAAAGGCUCUGGCGACUGUUUAUCAAAAACACAGCUCUGUGCGAACUCGUAAGAGGAUGUAUACAGAGUGACGCUUGCCCAAUGCCGGAAUGUCACGGAAGCGGGUCAGCUUAGGCGAAGCUCGUAACCCAAGCACCGGUCAAUGGCGGCCGUAACUAUGACGGUCCUAAGGUAGCGAAGUUCCUUGUCGGGUAAGUUCCGACGCGCAUGAAUAGCGUAACGACUGGAGCACUGUCUCCACGACGGACUCGGUGAAAUAGUAGUGGCGGUGAGGAUGCCGCCUACCCGCGGCAAGACGGAAAGACCCUAUGAACCUUUACUGCAGGCUUUCAUUGGCCAUAGAUAUACGAUGCGUAGGAUAGGUGGGAGACUUUGAAGUCCGGGUUCUGGCUCGGGCGGAGUCAUUGGUGAAAUACCACCCUUUGCAUAUUUGUGGCCUAACCCCGAAUCCCGUGAAACCGGGCGGGGGACCGUGAGUGCCGGGCAGUUUGACUGGGGCGGUCUCCUCCUAAAGUGUAACGGAGGAGCGCAAAGGUUGGCUCAGCGCGGAUGGAAACCGCGUGGUGUGUGUAAGAGCAUAAGCCAGCUUGACUGCGAGACCGACGGGUCAAGCAGAUACGAAAGUAGGCUCUAGUGAUCCUGCGGUCCCGUGUGGAAGGGCCGUAGCUCAUCGGAUAAAAGGUACUCUAGGGAUAACAGGCUGAUCGCUCCCGAGCGUCCAUAGCGGCGGAGCGGUUUGGCACCUCGAUGUCGGCUCAUCGCAUCCUGGGGCUGAAGGCGGUCCCAAGGGUUGGGCUGUUCGCCCAUUAAAGCGGUACGCGAGCUGGGUUCAGACCGGCGUGAGCCAGGUCGGUCCCUAUCUGCCGUGGGCGUCGCAGACUUGAGAGGAGUCUUCUUUAGUACGAGAGGAUUAGGAAGGAUCCAUCCCUGGUGAUUCAGUUGGGGCGCCAGCCCCAUCGCUGAGUAGCUACAUGGAGCAGGGAUAACCGCUGAAAGCAUCUAAGCGGGAAGCCCCCCUCAAGAUUAGGUCUGCAUGCACUUAGUGUGAGAGACCCCUGGAAGACCACCAGGUUGAUAGGCCGCAGCUGUAAGCGCCGAAAUGCGCUCAGGCGAGCGGUACUAACGGUCAAAGAUUUGAUCAC
rnacentral:rRNA from 1 species